rnacentral:rRNA from 1 species
AUCUGUACCCAUACUACCAUGAACGCACCUGAGCUGGUCUGAUCUCAGAAGCUACCUAGGGUCAGGUCUGGUUAUACAUGGAUGGGAGAAGUAUGAAGCUGAUCUUUUUAGUUA